rnacentral:rRNA from 1 species
CUGGUUGAUCCUGCCAGUAGUCAUAUGCUUGUCUUAAAGAUUAAGCCAUGCAUGUCCAAGUAUAAGCCCCCAUGGGGUGAAACUGCGGAUGGCUCAUUAAAUCGGUUGGAAUCUACAUGAGAGUUAUUCUUUUAAAAGGAUAACCCCGGAAAAUCUGCGGCUAAUACUUGCAAAAAAGGGUAGCAAUACCCAGCAUUUAUCAGCUUGAGAGGAUGGCAGGGCAACCUGUCUCGGUGAAUCAUGAUAAAAUAUUAGCAGAUCGCACGAGCUUGACUCGGCGACAAUUCAUUCGACUUUCCGCCCUAUCAACUUUGGAAGGUAGUGUAGUGGACUACCUUGGGUUUCACGGGUGACGGAGAAUUGGGGUUCGAUUCCGGAGAGGGAGCCUGAGAGAUGGCUACUACUUCCAAGGAAGGCAGCAGGCGCGAAAAUUGCCGAACCUACAAAGUAGGAGGCAGUGACAAUAAAUAUCGGAGGGUCAAUAGAUCCGACUGGAAUGAGAUGGAUGUAAAUAGUCCUACGAGUACCAAUUGGAGGAAAAGUCUGGUGCCA